rnacentral:rRNA from 1 species
CAGUAGCCGCGGUAAUACGUAUGUCACAAGCGUUAUCCGGAUUUAUUGGGCGUAAAGCGCGUCUAGGUGAUUAAGUAAGUCUGAUGUGAAAAUGCAGGGCUCAACUCUGUAUUGCGUUGGAAACUGCAUGACUAGAGUACUGGAGAGGUAAGCGGAACUACAAGUGUAGAGGUGAAAUUCGUAGAUAUUUGUAGGAAUGCCGAUGGGGAAGCCAGCUUACUGGACAGAUACUGACGCUAAAGCGCGAAAGCGUGGGUAGCAAACAGGAUUAGAUACCCCUGUAGUCCCUGUCUCUUAUACA